GGGGUUGUGGCUCAGUGGUAGAGUGCUCGCCUAGCAUGUGUGAGGCACUGGGUUUGAUCCUCAGCACCA
rnacentral:tRNA from 1 species